GACGAACGCUGGCGGCGUGCUUAACACAUGCAAGUCGAACGGAAAGGCCUGCUUUCCCUUGUGGAUUGCGGGUACUCGCGUGGCGAACGGGUGAGUAACACGUGAGUGAUCUGCCCCCAACUUGGGUAUAAGCCUGGGAAACUGGGUCUAAUUCCCGAUAGGACUGCAGGGUGGUGCCUGUGGUGGAAAACGAUUUUCUAGUGGUUGGGGAUGAGCUCGCGGCCUAUCAGCUUGUUGGUGGGGUAAUGGCCUACCAAGGCGGCGACGGGUAGCCGGCCUGAGAGGGUGGACGGGCACAUUGGGACUGAGAUACGGCCCAGACUCCUACGGGAGGCAGCAGUGGGGAAUAUGGCACAAUGGGCGGAAGCCUGAUGCAGCGACGCCGCGUGGGGGAUGACGGCCUUCGGGUUGUAAACUCCUUUCGACCGCGAGGAAGCCACCUGGUUGGAAGGGUGGUGACGGUAGUGGUAGAAGAAGCACCGGCUAACUACGUG
rnacentral:rRNA from 1 species